rnacentral:rRNA from 1 species
GACGAACGCUGGCGGCGUGCUUAACACAUGCAAGUCGAACGGAAAGGCCCUGCUUUUGUGGGGUGCUCGAGUGGCGAACGGGUGAGUAACACGUGAGUAACCUGCCCUUGACUUUGGGAUAACUUCAGGAAACUGGGGCUAAUACCGGAUAGGAGCUCCUGCUGCAUGGUGGGGGUUGGAAAGUUUCGGCGGUUGGGGAUGGACUCGCGGCUUAUCAGCUUGUUGGUGGGGUAGUGGCUUACCAAGGCUUGGACGGGUAGCCGGCCUGAGAGGGGGACCGGCCCCUUGGGGACUAAGGGCGGACGCAGCAGUGUGGGGGAGGGAGAGGGGGGAAGAAUGCCCAAGGGGGGGGGCGCCGUGGGCGACGGCGCCGGGGGGGGAAUGACGCCCUUGGGGUUGAGAACCGUUUCCGGCUGUGAGGAGGGGGGGGGGAGGUAAAUGGGUAAAGAAGCCCCGGCUAACUACGUG